rnacentral:rRNA from 1 species
GUGGCGAACGGGUGAGUAACACGUGGGUAAUCUGCCCUGUACUCUGGGAUAAGCCUGGGAAACUGGGUCUAAUACCGGAUAUGACCUUUCACCGCAUGGUGGGGGGUGGAAAGUUCCGGCGGUAUGGGAUGAACCCGCGGCCUAUCAGCUUGUUGGUGGGGUAAUGGCCUACCAAGGCGACGACGGGUAGCCGGCCUGAGAGGGUGACCGGCCACACUGGGACUGAGACACGGCCCAGACUCCUACGGGAGGCAGCAGUGGGGAAUAUUGCACAAUGGGCGCAAGCCUGAUGCAGCGACGCCGCGUGAGGGAUGACGGCCUUCGGGUUGUAAACCUCUUUCGCCAGGGACGAAGCGCGAGUGACGGUACCUGGAUAAGAAGCACCGGCUAACUACGUGCCAGCAGCCGCGGUAAUACGUAGGGUGCGAGCGUUGUCCGGAAUUAUUGGGCGUAAAGAGCUCGUAGGCGGUUUGUCGCGUCGGCUGUGAAAUCUGGAGGCUUAACCCUCAGCGUGCAGUCGAUACGGGCAGACUUGAGUUCGGCAGGGGAGACUGGAAUUCCUGGUGUAGCGGUGAAAUGCGCAGAUAUCAGGAGGAACACCGGUGGCGAAGGCGGGUCUCUGGGCCGAUACUGACGCUGAGGAGCGAAAGC